rnacentral:rRNA from 1 species
UACGGAGGGUGCGAGCGUUGUCCGGAAUCACUGGGCGUAAAGGGCGCGUAGGUGGCGACCCAAGUCAACGGUGAAAGCUCGGCGCUUAACGCCGAGUCGGCCGUCGAUACUGGGUGGCUCGAGCACUGUAGAGGCAGAUGGAAUUCCGGGUGUAGCGGUGGAAUGCGUAGAGAUCCGGAAGAACACCGGUGGCGAAGGCGGUCUGCUGGGCAGUAGCUGACACUGAGGCGCGACAGCGUGGGGAGCAAACAGG